GGUGAAUUCAUCUCUCCAAAGGCACUGAAUAAGAUGGUAGUUUGGCAAUUUAUGCCAAAGGGACAGCCAAUAAUUAAAGGCAUGUCUCCACAUCAGAAUCUCAAGGGAGGGGUCUUAAGUUCUAAGCGAAUGGCAGAGUUGCUUACACAGGAGGGUAGUUUCAAAAGGCGUCUUAGAAAAGAUUUUGCAAUGUCACCAGAGGCAAGAGGUUUACAAAGACGCCCCAUAAAGGGACCGCAUAGGCCAUAGUUGCAACCACUUUUGCACUAUAAACUUUUAAGGCGGAUGGAACAUGCAUAGCCCCUCAGUAAAGAAGAAGCGUAGUAUAGCGUAGAUAAGGGCUUUCACCUUGUUUUGUAAAUAUGUGAUAUGCGCUUUCCAUCCCAUAUUAUACUGGAAGUAAAUUCCUAGAUAUUGAAAUUUGUAAACUUGUUCAAUUGGCUUCCCCUCAAGUUCCCAUCUAUACAGUUUACGACUCCUGGAAAAAAUUAGGACUUUAGAUUUGGAAUGGUUAAUAGUAAGUAAAUUUGUUUGGCAAUACGAUGCAAAAAUCUUAAGGGCCCUCCUCAAACCGAUUCGAGAAUAAGAGAGGAUCACCGCAUCGUCAGCGUACAAUAAUAAGGGGCAGCGAUAGUCUGCAAGCCUGGGUGCAUGAAUGGAGGUUUGGGCCUCAGCUAGGGGCGUCCUCAUGUCACUAAUAUAGAGGUUAAAAAGAUAGGGGGCAAGGAUACACCCUUGUCGUACCCCCUUGUUUAUUGGAACUGAGUUUGUUAGAUCGCCCUCAGGUGUUAACCUCACCCUAGCAG